CCCUUAGACGUUCUGGGCCGCACGCGCGCUACACUGACCAGUGCAACAAGCAUCCGUCCUUGGCCGACAGGCCCGGGCAAUCUUUGAACGCUGGUCGUGAUGGGGAUAGACUUUUGCAAUUUUUGGUCUUCAACGAGGAAUUCCUAGUAAACGCAAGUCAUCAACUUGCAUUGAUUACGUCCCUGCCCUUUGUACACACCGCCCGUCGCACCUACCGAUUGAAUGGCCCGGUGAAGCCUCCGGAUUGGCGCGCACCUCGGUGCCGCCGAGAAGUUGGCUAAACCUUACCAUUUAGAGGAAGGUGAAGUCGUAACA
rnacentral:rRNA from 1 species